rnacentral:rRNA from 1 species
CCUACGGGUGGCAGCAGUGGGGGAUAUUGCACAAUGGGGGGAACCCUGAUGCAGCGACGCCGCGUGGGUGAAGGAGUAUUUCGGUAUGUAAAGCCCUAUCGGCAGGGAAGAAAUUGGACGGUACCUGACUAAGAAGCCCCGGCUAACUACGUGACAGCAGCCGCGGUAAUACGUAGGGGGCAAGCGUUAUCCGGCUUUACUGGGUGUAACGGGAGCGUAUACGGUUAUGUAAGUCUGGAGGGAAAGCCCGGGGCCCAAACCCGGGACUGCUUUGGAAACGGUGUAACUGGAGUACAGGAGGGGCAGGCGGAAUUCGUGGUGUAGCGGUGAAAUGCGUAGAUAUCAGGAGGAACACCGGCGGCGAAGGCGGCCUGCUGGACUGAAACUGACGUUGAGGCUCGAAAGCGUGGGGAGCAAACAGGAUUAGAUACCCGAGUAGUC